GGGGUCCGUGUCUUUUGGAAUUGGCCCAGACGAACAAAAACACCGGCGCAGCAGCGCCAAGGAAUAUAAUAAUGAGUGUGCAACCUCUGCAGAGCUCGGUUAUGUUGCCUGUGAGCUUUGCAUCCUUUCAAUAAAAAUGACUCUCGGCAAUGGAUAUCUCGGCUCUUGCAUCGAUGAAGAACGUAGCGAAAUGCGAUACGUGGUGUGAAUUGCAGAAUCCCGCUGAACCAUCGAAAUCUUUGAAUUCAAGUUGUCGCCUCGAGUCAUUCAGGUUGAGGGCAGGUUAUGCACUUGGGUGGUCAUGGCUAUUUACCUGUCGUACCCCAUAGUCGUGUGUGGAUUGGGAAUCGAUCCUGGCCUUCUUNGAANGGCCCUUGCUUGAGAGCGUGGUCUACGGCACGACACAUAACUAAGGCUUUGCGAAGGGUGCACACUGAUUAUUGUUGAUGUCUUGGUGAGCGGUGGAUGGGCCAGGUGGUGCAUAGUUGCCAGCCUUGCUCGACUUCAUUGUGGGCAGGUCAGAAAGACGGCAUCCUAUGACAGCUGCCGGUUUGGCUCUUGAUUGCGUACCAGGUAGCAAGUCAU
rnacentral:rRNA from 1 species